GCAUGUGACUGGCGCUAUUUAUAACUAUGUGACUGUCAUGUUGCUCUUUCCCAACCUUGUGUUAUACAGAGCACCUGCCAGGCCGCUGCAUGCAAACCAUGGCUGGCUGUAUGCGUAGGACCUGCUAGAGAACAGAGGAAGCUGAAAAAGAUGGAGAUGUGGCACGGUCCUUUCGCCAGCAUGGACGACUUCGACUACAGUGUGCACAUUGCAGAGCGCGACUGGAGUGCCUUCUUUCAGGAAUGUGAAGGAUGUGACGUCCUUCAGGGCACGCUGGCCAGUUUAGAUGAUUCAGGCAUGAGUGACAAUGACUCCGGCAUGGAGUUAGAGGAGCUGCAGCCCCAACCUUCCUCAAACGGCCAACUUAACCUACAGGGUUCCUCUCUGAACACCAGUGGCUUUCAGGUCUCUGAAAAUGGUGGGGAGGAGAACUUAAGUUCACCAAAGGUUACUGUUCGUGAGGAAUCGUCGGCUAUCUUGAAUUGUUCUCACGGCGGUUCUGUAACGAUGCCAAUGAGUCCAUGUCAGCCAGAAUGUCAGAAUUGCAUUGAUCAUCAAGACAUUCUUGGAAAAGCUACAGAAUCAAAUGACACGUCGUCUUCAGCAGCCAAGGGGAACGUCUGCCAUGAGACAGAUGAGGACUCGUCUGGAAUGAUGGAUCCCAAGCAGGGAGAUGGGCGGAGCUCGAACGAACAAACGGGAAUUCCUCUCUAUCCACAAAGUGUGUUUCUGUCAUCGGAAGAUUCCCCGACUGAUUCACUUACCCACAAAGAAAUGAUCUCUGAAAGUCCAGAAAACGUCACAAGCUGCACCGAAUUACCAAGGAAAGAGAAGGAGCGCUGGUUUGUCACAGUGGACAUCGGCGUGCCGCGGUCCAGGGCGAGAGGGAGUACACCUGUAAAAAAAAAAAAAAAAAAAAUUUGUAGACUCUCCUGUGAACUGGCCCUUAAAUGUAAUGAUACAGGCCCAGCAAUUCAGAAUAAACCUGAGCUGGAAGAAGCUGCCGGUCAAAAUACAGAUCACACAAGCGAGAGCAGUCUCUCAUCACACCAACCGCCUACCUGCACGCCCAAGAGCUGUUCCUUCUUCAUUAAAUUACUUUCAGAGAAGCCAGCUACUAAAAAGUCUCCAAAAUUCAUUGGAAUAUUACCAUCUGAAACAUGCAAAAAUGAAAACAUGUUGCAAAAACUUGCUAAGAAUUGCAUAACUAAUAAAAAAUCAAAUGCCAUUCACCAUGAACUAUCCUGCACCCAAGAAUCAAUAGAUACUAGUCUAUCAAACAUUACAAAAACUGAACUGAAGGAAACAAACAAUAGUCCUUAUUCAUCUAUGGCUACGCAUGGGAAAACUCUGGCACAUGCAACAUGCAAACAGAAAGUUAUUCCAGUUCAAAAAAUCCAACAAGCAAUGAAGUUAUCGCAUUCAACAGGGAACACAGAAUUAAAGUUACUUGAUCUUGACUCUAAUAAUGAAUAUGAAAAAUAUGAACAUAAAAAAACAAAUACAGCUAUGAGCUUUAAGGAGUGUGAAGGCAAACAUUUAGCCAAGAAAGAUGUUGAUGGUAUAUUGAGUGCAGGCUGCAGACUUGUUCCUCAAAGAGAUGAAUCAACUUCUGUUCUUCUCUCAGAGGACCUGAGAGCAGGCUGUACAACAACCCAUUUUAACUCAGUUCUCAACCCUAAUGGAAAUACUUUGUCCCCAGUAACAGUCAACAAAAAUAGAUAUGUGGACGUUGGAGAGGCACAUUUGGAUAGUGCUUUACCACAAGUGACAGGUGUACAACACACCAUACGGGAAUCUUACUCAGAUGACGUGGCAGCAGACAUACAUAAUUUACAAAAUCGCAAUGAAGUUUCAGAUGAAGUGGACUAUAGCGGUUCAUAUAUGACAAAUAGAGUUUUUAUUAUAGAUGAGCCUGAAAAAUAUGACGAGAACCAUCCAAAAGAAGACAGAAAUGUGCACAUUUUAAAAAUGAACAAAUUCACAGAUUCUACUGGGUUACCAUUGCUUGACCCAGUUGAGACUAAGGCGCACAAACCUCAGAGUGAUCUUAAGCCGUCCCAUAGGUACCAAACUAACUGCAGCACAGAAACUGAGUCUUCUCUAUCCCAAGAACCGAUGACUUUAGACCCUGAACAUCCACCAGUGUUUGCCAUUUCUUCCUUUUGGGAUGAAAUGGAAAAAUUAACCAUCAGUGAUAUUUUACAGUUGAAACUAGUUGGCCACACCUAUUCAGCACAGACAUUUCCUCAUAUCCAAGACAAUGUCGCUGUGGACACUUCAGAUGCUGACGAUGCAGGCUACUUCACUAAUGUGGAUGAAUUUAAGCCUGACUGCUCUACGGCUGAAGUUCCCACAUUUUCAGAUUCUGAAGAAGGGGGCUCACACUCUCUACAUUUUAGCACAAGUUCCACUCCUGAGCCUCAAGAUACAAAAAACAGAAGGUCAUCUGCUACUUUGAGUUCUAGGGAUGAUGUGCGGAACAAGGAAUUAUACCUGAACGCAGGAACCGAAAAAGAGUCGAAAAAGAGGACAAAGUCCUGCUCGGAGCGCCCAUUUCCUCAUCCCCAUCAUUCAGAUGUAUGUAAGUAUGGAUUUAAUCAAAAGACACCGCAAAACGUUAAGACAGCUUAUCAAAUGAACAAUGUUGAUGAUGGAAAUUCAGACAGUCUUUCAGUACCUGAAAUGUAUGACUAUUUUUUCCUUGAAUCAAAACCUGGAAAUUUCAGUUCUUCAAUUAAAAACACUGCGACAGUGCCCAUUUUCUCCAGCUUUCAAUCAAUAAGACAAAGUCUGCAGUUUCCAGAGGUAUAUGACUGCUUGCUCCCUAAUGACUCAAUCAUUCAGCUGGAAGAUGAGGAAGAUCACACAGGAACCCGAGCACUGACACGCUUUGACAGCAGAAUCAGUGACCUGUUGGACACAGAGGUAUUGCCAGAUUCAUAUGAGCACUUUUGUACGGAUAGCGACUGGAGAGGAAAUCUAUUCUGGAGGCACCCUCUGUCUUUGAGACGAACGUGUUUCACGUGGAGAAACUUCGGUCGACUCUGGUGUGAUCCAAUUUUUGGGAGAAUUGAAGCAAUAUGUGGAAGGCAGUCACUUUGUACAACCAUAAGGUCAACCAUUUCACAAGAUGUUCAACACUGUAGUGCAGAUAUUUGCUACCUGGAAAAGCAUACCUUUAGUGAACUUGCAGAAGAAGAACAAGCUAUUGGAAAACUGCAAACUGCUUUAUCUGUUCCAAAAAUAAACGUCUCCUUAAAUUCAAUAAACUCAGCGCAUCCUUCAGCAUCCACCACAACCUCAGAAUGGCAGUUAUCUCACCACAGUCCUUAUCUUGGUUUUUUUUUUUUAACUCUGAAGAGCAGGAUUCAGGGACUCCAAAACAGAGAUUGAGAUUGUCUUACUUUUUCAUUCAUUCUUUAGUAGAUUUGAUGCAUUUUUUUGGAUAAUUGCCGUGUUGGAAUAUGCAAUUUGGUGCAAGAUCAACUCAUAGAUUGAGGUUGUAACGUUCUCCUCCGGAAUGCCGACGUUUGACUUCAUGGUUAGAUACCCAGAUAAUCCAUUAUCAUGAUUGGCAGAUAAGCUUGUUUUUGAUUGUAGGUAGUUUUAGGCUCCUGCCAAACAGUGAUUUUGGUUGCCCCUAAAACUGCAAAUUAAUUUCAGGCUUCUUUUGUUUGUUUCUUUGAAUGAUAUUUUUACGUAGUUCAUGUUUAGUUAUGUGAGAACAUUUUUAUAUAAUCUGAUGUAGCAAAAAUUAAAUUUAAAUGGAUUAAAACGAAAUUAAAAGCAAAUACUAUCACUUGUAGUCUUCUGUAACUUACAUACUGAAAUAUGUUGUAACCUCCCUGAUCUCAAUGUUGUUAAAACCAUAAUAAACACUUAAAUGCAACUGUAACAUUUAGCUACCACAGCUAUUUGUUUGUCUUCACUUUAAAUACAACUUUUGUUUUGUUUGACAUCAGCUGCCACCAAUAUAUAUUUUUUUUUGGUUCAGAAAGUACCAUACAAACAUAAGCCUAGUGGUCUUCAUGAAGCACUUCUUACAGGUGGAAGGAUGGGUUGCCUUUUGUUGCGUAAACAGUCUGACAUGUGUUUGGUGUGUAUCGCCUUUGCCUCUUGGCUGCUGAGGUCAGCUGAACCACAGAAUGCAGGCACAUGGAGAAAUGUUCUGCUGGCAAACGUAAGUGCUGUCUAUGCCAUACGAUACCUGAGGAAGUACAUCCAAGAUGACACAACCAUCGACAAAUUGUAACUUCACAUCCGCGCUUCACAUCGUAAUCACCCUUUCCCCAAAGUGAGGAGGCCAGAGUCCUGUUUUAAACAAAUGUAUGCAAUGGAAAGUGUUUCAAAUAUUUCAAAAACUGCUACAUUUUAUGUGAAUAGCUGCAUUUUUAAAAAUAUACGUGGAAAGAUAUCUCUUACUUUAUUGAAGUUCUAUUAUGUCCUUGGUUUUAUAAUAUCAAAACCGCUUACAAUCUGUUCUAUAUUAUAUAAAGAAAUACAAAAUUUUGUAUUUUUCUGUGAAGAUUGUACGUGCUUGAAUAUUAGGUUCUGAACUGAGAUUUUGUCAUUUACCAUGAUAGCCGGAGUGCUGUAGCUAAGUUCAUAUUGCAUGUUGUUUGAUGUCUGAACCAAAAACGCAGACUUCAUAUAACUUUAAAGAAAUGCAAGAUUUUGUAUAGAUACAUGUUUGUACUAUAUAAAUAUUUAUGAAACAAAAUAUAUCAUAAAUGCAACUUUCGCACAAGCAACUCCAAGAAUUUAUUGAACAUUUUAAAUGUCAAUCGUUUGAAUGAAUGAAAUAUGAAAACCCGCCACUAAAUAAAUAAAUGAAUCAUGAAAAACUCAUAAUCACUCCUGUUAGUACUCCUCCACAAGAGGGCAGUAUACGCUUCAAUUUUUCCAUAAUUAUAAUAAAAUUGUUGUAAUAAAAUGAAAAUUGCAAUUUUACAGUUUUAUGAGUAAUAUUAUCUCAGGUUGAAAUCUUUGUGUAAAUAACAUUUAAAAAUGUCAGCUUUUAAAUAAAAUGAAAAAAUGAUACAGAAA